CACGUAGGGUGCGAGCGUUGUCCGGAAUUAUUGGGCGUAAAGAGCUCGUAGGCGGUGUGUCGCGUCGGCCGUGAAAACCUGCAGCUUAACUGUGGGCUUGCGGUCGAUACGGGCAUCACUGGAGUUCGGCAGGGGAGACUGGAAUUCCCGGUGUAGCGGUGAAAUGCGUAGAGAUCGGGAGGAACAUCAGUGGCGAAGGCGACUACCUGGCCUGUUCUUGACGCUGAGGCGCGAAAGCUAGGGGAGCAAACGGG
rnacentral:rRNA from 1 species